GGGGCGGGGCCUCGGCCGGCGGUUCGCGUUCUGGGUAGCCGCCGGGCGCUGCACCGAAGGAAGUGCCGAGGAGGCCGGGGGGAGUGGAACCGAGGGAGAUGUGGCCGGCGCUGUUUGGCUGUGUCGUGUGGGGGAUUUCCGCAUUCACCUGGGACCCCGGACGGAUGCCGCAGGCGCGACUGCUGGGCCCGCCUCCACCAGAAUUACUUUCCGGAAAACUGCCCGGAGGUCCUGGUUCCCCCGGCUCGGUGGCGGGGUGGCGCCGCCUGUCGUCACGUCGGCUGGGGAGGGCCAGCUCCGCCACGCAGCCAGAUCCCGCCCGUCUCAGAAAAAAGUCCGGGCUGGGGCCCGGCGCGGUGGCCACGCCUGCCAUCCCCGCAGCUUGGGAGGCCGAGACCGGAGGAUCGCACGUUCAAAGCCAGCCUCAGCAAUGGAGGGCACGAAGCAACUGACUGACCCGUUCAUCCGUGUGGAAUUCGGAAGACACAGAAGCAGUUCCACCUCCCCUCCUUCAUCCCCCAGAGGGGACUACUCUUGCCCCUUCUGGUGGGUCCUGGCUGAGCCAAGCACUUAGUCUUCCUGAUCCAGCCUUGACAGCGGAGCAGUUUUAAUUCCUCAUCCCUGCCUCUUCCCGUCUAGCCCCUCUCUCCUGCCCGCUGUUGGGACCUUGGAACCGCGGCCAUUAUUGGGUGUUGGCUGAGGCRGCCUCAGGGGUCAGCAUUUCCAUAUGCGUGACCUGGCUGGAMUGGCGGGCGCUGUCUUUUGACUUUAGUCCCAACUAAUGGUUUAAUCUGAAAUCUGCCUAGGCCCCUUAGUGACAGUGCCGGAACUGCUCCUUAUUGGUUUUUGCUACUGUCUCUUCUUACUCCUUCUAUCACUACGUAACCUUGUCCCUGACACAAUAAAGUUGGGAUUGUUGCACCUUCA